rnacentral:rRNA from 1 species
UACAGAGGUCUCAGGCGUUGUUCGGAUUCAUUGGGCGUAAAGGGUGCGUAGGCGGCGCGGUAAGUCGGGUGUGAAAUCUCGGAGCUUAACUCCGAAACUGCAUUCGAUACUGCCGUGCUUGAGGACUGGAGAGGAGACUGGAAUUUACGGUGUAGCGGUGAAAUGCGUAGAUAUCGUAAGGAAGACCAGUGGCGAAGGCGGGUCUCUGGACAGUUCCUGACGCUGAGGCACGAAGGUCAGGGGAGCAAACGGG